rnacentral:sRNA from 1 species
UUACAUUCUGGCACCUGUGAGGAUUAGUACCUCCGGGGGCAGGGGGGGCGAGUCGAGCGCAGCGAGACAACGUUGCUUCGCAACGGCCCAAAGGCGAGGCGCGACGCGGUGAGUCCUCCUCUGGCACCGACCA